rnacentral:rRNA from 1 species
AAUCAACGCUGGCGGCGUGCCUCAGACAUGCAAGUCGAACGAUUAAAGCUCUCUUCGGAGAGUGUAUAGAGUGGCGCACGGGUGAGUAACACGUAAGUAAUCUACCCUCGAGUGGGGAAUAACGUCCGGAAACGGACGCUAAUACCGCAUAAUGCAGCGGCACCGCAAGGUGACAGUUGUUAAAGGAGAAAUUCGCUUGAGGAGGAGCUUGCGGCAGAUUAGCUUGUUGGUAAGGUAACGGCUUACCAAGGCUACGAUCUGUAACCGGUCUUAGAGGACGGUCGGUCACACUGACACUGAAUAACGGGUCAGACUCCUACGGGAGGCAGCAGUC